AUCCAAACGCGGACCGGAGCGACGGUGACAGCGGCGCGCUGGCCGUGCGAGACAAAAAUCGGCUAACGCCGCCGCCGCCGCUGCUGCUGUUGCUGCCGUUUCGCACGUAACCGCCGCAUCCGCCCGUAUUGCAAACCGCCCCGGACGGAGAAAGAAAGAGAACGUCCGUCGCGUAGACGCGACUUUGACUGUGGCGCGACCGACCGACCGAUCAACGGGCGAGGUCCUCGAGCGCGGCUCGACCCGACCCGAUCCGACCGGACCGGCCCGGCGCAGCCGACGACGGCCUUUUUGUGGUUAUGGCCGCAGCAGACGCGCCGGUCGGCCAUUGCUGCCCGGCUCUCUCCGUGAUACGCCUCCUUUCUCGCGCAAGCGGCGCGGCGCCCGGAAGAGUCUCGCGGCGUCGUCCUCGUCGUCGUCGUCGUCAUCGUAGUAGUCAUCGUCUUCUUCCCACGAUCUCGUCUUCCCGUCCCGUCUCUCCUCGCCCCGGCUCUCGGCCACCGUAUCACGGACUCGCGCUCGUCCGACUCGUCACGGCAUCGUCUUUCGGAGACGUGUUAGCCAGUCGCGUGCGGAUUCCGCGGCGACAGCGCGCCGACGGGGGGACUCGCCGUCCGCUUCUAGGAAGCGUAUGAUUCACUUCCACAUCAGCGAGCCGAUCGGCGGUGACGAGGGAGAAUCGCGCGUCACCGCGGCGUGAGAUCGCGCUUUUACGCCUGGGAGAUUGCAUUCUCUCCCCCCCCCCUCUCUCUCUCUCUCUCUCUGUCUUUUUUGUCCCUCUUUCUCCAUGUCUCUGUCCGUCCUCCUCCUCCUCCUCCUCCUUUUCCUCAUCUCCCCCCUCCCCUUGCCUACUGUACGUUGCACCCGAUUGCAACCGGUGUCACUCUCGCGAGUCCGGUCCUACGAGGACGCGUGGUCACUCGUCGCGGUUUAUCGCGCGAGAUAUAUAGGUUUCUAUAAAUAUUAAAUUCGAUUUAACCUCAGAGCUCUCUUCGGCUCUCCGUCCGCGGGAAAGGAACGGGUGAUAUCCCCCCUCGAUUUAUUUAUUCCGGCGCGAGCGUCACGAACGCGCUUCCGAAAUUUCCGACACACUCGCGGGGAAUUAUAUGCGCUCGCGAGGAGUUUUACUUUCGAACGUCGCGACGAUCGCCCGCGAUAACACGACGUAAAAGAGGAGACACUCGCACGCUCAACUCGACCAGCUCGAGCGGUGCGUAACCUGUGACAACGUUGGAGAAAGGAAGACGAUGUCGAGGUUGCCAUAUUAAAAAUAUAACAGCCGAAGGGGGCGGAGAGACACGAUGCAUUCCUGAAACGGCAAUCCUCGAAUUCCCCGGGUUUAUCUCCCGUGUGAACUCAAGGAGGGCGUCGACGGGCCUACUGUACACAAUACUAUCGUGAUAAUAUCAUGUUUCGUUCCUGUCGAACGUCGGGAGAGCGGCGAGAUUCGCCGCGUGUUUUAUUUCGGCUGCGCGCUGCGAAUCACGUGUGCUGCCGGCCACUUCUCCCCGUUCUUCCGAACUCCUUGGUUGCGGCUCCCACUGGGAUCGUCGACGAUCGCCCGACUACGGAAAUCGGUGACGAUUGGUUACCAUCGACGGCGGGGAAACUCGCUGAAUUCAAGUGUGUAAAAAAAAUGCCCCAUUCGGGUGUGUAUGCAUCGAGAAAAAGAAAGUAGUUAAUUUGGUUAAACUUUUCAACUUGAUUAAAUUUCUUUAGUUCAAGUCUUUAUGUAUUCAACUUAAAUACUUGAACUUUAAUUCAAGUAUCUAUGUAUUUGACUGAAAUAUAUAAAUACUUGAAAUGAAGACAUUUAAUUGAGUUGAAGUCAAAUUAACAAUUUUCCGUGUAAAAUUAGCACACUACAGCAUAAAGAGAAGAAUCUAUACAAUUAAACAUGUAAUAGUUUACUACACUAAAACAACCGGCAUUAAAUGUAUGCCUAUUCCUACCUUUUUUUUGUUUUUAUUUUUAAUUUCUUUAAUAUUCAAAUAAUUAAUCCGAGAAUUGAGAUCCGACAAAAAUUAUUUUAACAAUAUCAAAAUCUUUAAAAGGUCGCCAGUAAUGGUUUGCAAUAAUUGAGGCGAAAUUAACGACGACGCAACUGGCACAAUUUAUUAAAAUUCCAAAUAGUUACAACGUUUCGGCCUUCACUUUGGGCCCUUCUCAGUAACAUUCAACCACUAUAAAUUUGUGAUUCGUGUCAGCGGAUCAUGAUUUAAAGUGUUGUUACAGGAGAACGAAGGAACAAUAAGUAUCGCACCGAGUAACGGAAAAAAAAUUGAAUAUAUUAACAAAGCACAUAAUGCGAAAAAACAAUGCACGUCUUUACUGAAAGGCAGUAACUGUCAGACUUAAUUAAAAAAUUAUUUUAAUUUAAUCUACAAAUCUGAAAUCAUUUGAUCGGAUCAUUUUGAUGGGUUUGGUUGUUCUAGUGUUAAUGUUUUGCUUUAAAUUAAAUUGCACACACACGAAUGAGUUUUCUUUUUGAAUUGCAGGUGUUUAAUCUGCGUUUGUCACAAUCAAUCAAAAUCGGAUCGGUUUAUAUGAUAUAAAGAAUCUUAUUUGAGAAUCUCUCGUCUCAAUCUCGAUGUCAAUCUCCGUUGUAUUGCGAUUGAACGAAUCGAUCACGUGUCUUGCAUUACCCUUACCGCAAUCGGCCUUUGGAACCGUGAUGAUUUCUGUAGGAAGCACGAUUUUGCCAAACAUUUCGAAAGUUAAAGUCGAUUUAUUAUUAACUGUUCGCUCAAGUUCACCUGGCACUCUGCUCUUUCCGCGACGCCUGUUACUGAUACAAAUAACGAUUUAACAAGAACUUUCUUAAUAAUAAUAAUGAAGAUUUAACAAGAGUUUAAUUUCAAACAUUUAGUAAGUCAGUUUCGUUACGUUACAUAAUAUUGACAUACUAACGAAAAUGCUAUUAAAAUAAUAAACCGAACUCAUUUCAAAAAUUUUAUUUUAUUAAAGAAUUUUUCGCCAAUUUCUUUUUUUUUUAAUUGACGCUGGAAGAGUCUCUGGCACCGAUAAACGCUUGUUUUUAUUUUCGUCAUACUUGAUAGCGCUUCUCAUAGUUAACAGCGACACGAAAAGCCAAGGCUACUUUCCUCCGGCGCGAAUUCGGCGAGCGUUCGGUUAAUAGGUAUGCCGCAAAAAGUUGCAACCUCGCGCGAAUUCGCGAGGAUGGCGUUCUUUUUAUCAAAACCACUUGCGACUCGCGUGGAUAUAAAUAAGACCGUGACUCGGUGCGGCUUAUCGCGUAUCGUAUCGUUCCCCGCCUCACCGUUUCCCGUGCCCGUGUGAUUAAGCACGACCUUAACCCUCUCGUAGGAUUGCCUCCGCGACGCCUUUUCCUUCUCCCACGAAGGAAUUUACAUAUCCAUGGGAAUAAUUAUAGAGCGACGUGGUAUGUCGUCUCGACACCAUGUAAAAACUUAUUAUCCGUGUACAAGGUGUCUCAGGAACGCAUCGUUCUCUUAUCGACGCCUACAGUCUCUCUGGCCGACUUUAUCCUGGCAAAAGCGUCGAUAGAUUUUCGAGCGCUCGAGAAAGUAGAACUCGAGUAUCAACGCCAACAAGAGAUUCUUUAAUUAAUUUUGAAUGAAAGUUAUCCUAAAGUUCUAGCGUAAUUACGAACGGUACGUGAUACAAAAACGUUGGAAAGUUGCGACAAAAGGAAAAGUGGUUUCUAAAAUAUUCCAUGUAUGAUUCAUCACACGAACAAGAUUGUGAUUGAGAUAACUUGACAAUUGGAAUUCGCAGCACACACACAAACGUUGGGGCGUGUGGCAAAAUUAAAUCGCGUUCUGAAACUUUCCGACAUUCACAACGAAAGAAGAAUACAUAUCGGGCCGUUAGCCUUUUUUUUUUCGUUGAUAUUAGUUUUUUGCCCUGGAACGUUCACCUCGGCACUCCUCGCGAAACUGUCCCCUCUUCUCCAAUCUGCUAGCCUCCCUCCUCCGCUCCCUGGGUAUUCCUCGUGCAGCACCUCGGCGCGCCUCGACGAUGACAGUGAACUAGAGAGAGGCGCGAUGCACGGCGCAGCGGUUCGCCGGUAGUUACGGGAGAGGGAAAAAUUCAAUGAGCCUGUGUAAGGAGGUCGGUUAUUUUCUUGCGGGCCAGCGACUCUCGAAGUUCACUGACGUCUCGGCGACGGCGGCCGGUUGAUUAAACUUCUCUUCGGCCAUCCUCUUAUCGUGUCACCCCCUCGAAAACGACGUUGCCUCGCGAUCGACCGCUCGAAGAUGGGAAGAAAGAACGACUCCAAUCGCGUCCGUUCAGCAGACGUUCGUUUUACGCGUCGUUCUUUCGGAAGGUUUGAAAUUUAUCGAGUUACACGUCCAAAGCUUACGAAUUGGAGAUUGUAAUUCUGUUAGAUAACUUUUCACAUAAAUAAAAAGAUGUCUUGCAUUUCUUCGAAAGAAUAUCUUUUAGGGAUGUAAAAUAUUUUAUCUGAAGAUGCUUUGGAGAUAUCUUUCAGAAAUUGCAUUUUAAAAAUAAAGAUAUCUUUUAAGAUAUUGAAGAUAUCUUUAAUAACACGUUCAUAAGACGUCAACGUUUUAUGAAUUUAGUUUUUACUGAUAAAAUUUUAAAAUUUACGAUAAUUAUACGAGCUAUAAUUUUUAUCUGUUUUCGUCUCGGUCGAUCGAAAGUUUAAUUUUCAAUUUAUAAUCCUUGCUUCUCCAGCUGAGCUUAAACACAUACGUAUUUCCUUAUCGGGUAUAGAAAGGGCAGGAAAAUACAACAAGACACAUACUUGUUGAUGAAUCAUCCACGGUUUGACCUUGUACGUGCAGCUCGCGUCGCGAAGGGUACAACACGCCCCAGAAGUGGCGGUCCCCCUCGGCGUCAUCCCUUUAACCGGCGUCCCCUGUCGCCACCCUCCCCCCCCCCCCUCCGCUCCUCCGUCGGGAUAUCGACCCAGAAAUUGCAUCCUCCGCGUUCUCGCCGGCUACCCUCCAACCGCCGUUUCUCGCAGGACCCCCUCUCGCACUCCGAUUCACAUCCGCCGCGCGCGUUCCUUCGGUCAUGUGGAACGAGCGGCGAUACAUUAGCACGGGUGUCGGCUAUCGAGGACGUCGUAUUUGAGCGCCUCGUGCACAUAAUUGACGAUCAUGAAUGCGCAUCGCGAAUAUUCAUUUGCUUCCGCGAAAUUCGAGCUGACGUCGAGGCGACGUUGUAAUUUUUAACGAGUCCCUCGAACGCCGCUCGAUACCACCGGCACAGAGAAAUGAAAAAUUUACAUCUACAAUUUGGACUUGACGAUUUUUCAGAGUUUUAAUGUGGUAUCUCUUGCAGCUCGAAGACAGUAAUUUUUGUCCAUAGUCGAAUGCUGCUAAGAAAAAAUAAGCAAAUGACGCGACAGACCAAGUGACAUGUUCACCCUUUGAGUGCCAAUUUUACUUUCAUGCCAUUUUUGCCUGAAGUGAGAGAAAUCGUAGCAUUGUGAAACAUUGUAUUCUUUUAGAAUGAGCGACAAAAAAAUCUCGAAGGAACAAUCAUUUCUCGUGGCCAAAAUACCUGUUUACAAUUUUGAUAUUCAAAACUAUCACUCUUCUUUCUUGAGUUUGAAUCUUUUUUAUUAAACGAUACAAUUUAAAGUUGAGAUUGAAAAUGGUGAAAGUAUUUUGACCACUGAAGGUUGUCCUCUCUAGUCCUGUUUGUGCUCUGAUACCCGAAGGUAAUGGGACGUCGCGGUCGUAUUUCACGAAUUUCCACGGUGCGGAGAGAGGAGAAACGGACCGGCCCGAAAGUUCGUAGCGCGCGGCACGUGCCCGGAGAGCCAGGGGAUAACUUUAGAAGUGGAUCGUCGGAUCUCUUUUAGCGUCGGGAUUCGCGCGUGGGAAGAAUUUAUUUCGGUAGCGUCCCCCACGUAUUUUGCCCGCGAAAUGGGCUUAAACGGCCCGACUGACACGGGCAGCGCGCGACGUGUGCCGAUUGCUGAAUGCCGCGUUAUCAUAUUGACGCGAGACGGUCAUGCUGUCUGUGUACCAAUCAACCUGGCCGGCAUAUGGCCAGUCGAACUGUCGUUGAAAUUCAUGCGACUUUUUGCACGGCUGUACGCCGUUGCAAAAUGACAUCGAAUAAACUCGCGGUUCUAUAUAUUCAAUCCGUUUCGUAAUAAAAUAAAA
rnacentral:lncRNA from 1 species